rnacentral:rRNA from 1 species
UACGUAGGGUGCGAGCGUUAAUCGGAAUUACUGGGCGUAAAGCGUGCGCAGGCGGCUUUGCAUGACAGAUGUGAAAUCCCCGGGCUCAACCUGGGAACUGCAUUUGUGACUGUAUAGCUAGAGUACGGUAGAGGGGGAUGGAAUUCCGCGUGUAGCAGUGAAAUGCGUAGAUAUGCGGAGGAACACCGAUGGCGAAGGCAAUCCCCUGGACCUGUACUGACGCUCAUGCACGAAAGCGUGGGGAGCAAACAGG